rnacentral:lncRNA from 1 species
CGCCAUCUGUCUGUUCUAGCGGUUGUGCUUCUAUACCCGGUGACGCCGUCUGUCUGUUCUAGCUGUUGUGUUUCUAUACCCGGUGAUGCCAGGUCCCAGAGUCAACUCUCUCACUUCCUCUGUCUGGUGUGGUGUGUAGGUGAGGUUGCCAUACCGACAGCUGUGGCCGAGCCAGGCGACCAGAAACAGAACUGCGAGACACAGAGAGAGCUUGGUGACGGACAGAGGAAGAGGAGAGAGACAGAGCCUGGUGACGGACAGAGGAAGAGGGGAUCGACAGAGGCUGGUGACGGACAGAGGAAGAGGAGAGCGACAGAGCCUGGUGACAGACAGAGGAAGAAAGCGAAGAGGAGAGCGACAGAGCCUGUGGACGGACAGAGGAAGAGAGAGACUCAGACAGACUCUCCCAUCAGAGGUUGUGCUGGUUCUCCUCCCCUCUCGGCCGUGACUCUCUCUCCUCCUCCUCCAGACUUGUCCAGAUCGCUCCUUCUCUCCUUUACAUUCCUGGGUUUGGGACUGCUACUUUCGUCUCUUCGUGUAGCAAUGGCUCAGAGCUGCAGCUCGUUCAAGCCCCUGUUUUCGGCUUCUCAAGACCUCCCACCUACAUACUGA